rnacentral:rRNA from 1 species
UACGUAGGGGGCGAGCGUUGUCCGGAAUUAUUGGGCGUAAAGAGCGUGUAGGCGGCUCGUCAAGUCUGCUGUGAAAUCCUGGGGCUCAACCCUGGACGUGCAGCGGAAACUACCGGGCUAGAGGGUGGUAGAGGCGAGUGGAAUUCCGAGUGUAGCGGUGAAAUGCGCAGAUAUUCGGAGGAACACCAGUAGCGAAGGCGGCUCGCUGGGCAACACCUGACGCUGAGACGCGAAAGCGUGGGGAGCGAACAGG